rnacentral:rRNA from 1 species
GAUGAACGCUGGCGGCGUGCUUAACACAUGCAAGUCGAACGGUGAAGCCAAGCUUGCUUGGUGGAUCAGUGGCGAACGGGUGGGUAACACGUGAGCAACCUGCCCUGGACUCUGGGAUAAGCGCUGGAAACGGCGUCUAAUACUGGAUAUGAGCCUUCAUCGCAUGGUGGGGGUUGGAAAGAUUUUUUGGUCUGGGAUGGGCUCGCGGCCUACCAGCUUGUUGGUGAGGUAAUGGCUCACCAAGGCGUCGACGGGUAGCCGGCCUGAGAGGGUGACCGGCCACACUGGGACUGGGACACGGCCCAGACUCCUACGGGAGGCAGCAGGGGGGAAUAUUGCACAAUGGGCGAAAGCCUGAUGCAGCAACGCCGCGUGAGGGAUGACGGCCUUCGGGUUGUAAACCUCUUUUAGCAGGGAAGAAGCGAAAGUGACGGUACCUGCAGAAAAAGCGCCGGCUAACUACGUGCCAGCCGCCGCCGUAA